rnacentral:rRNA from 1 species
CCUACGGGAGGCAGCAGUGGGGAAUAUUGGGCAAUGGGCGCAAGCCUGACCCAGCAACGCCGCGUGAAGGAAGGAGGCUUUCGGGUUGUAAACUUCUUUUCUUAGGGACGAAGCAAGUGACGGUACUUGAGGAAUAAGCCACGGCUAACUACGUGCCAGCAGCCGCGGUAAUACGUAGGUGGCAAGCGUUAUCCGGAUUUACUGGGUGUAAAGGGCGGGGAGGCGGGACUGCAAGUCAGAUGUGAAAACCAUGGGCUCAACCUAUGGACUGCAUUUGAAACUGUAGUUCUUGAGUACUGGAGAGGCAGCCGGAAUUCCGAGUGUAGCGGUGAAAUGCGUAGAUAUUAGGAGGAACACCAGUGGCGAAGGCGGUCUGCUGGACAGCAACUGACGCUGAGGCGCGAAAGCGUGGGGAGCAAACAGGAUUAGAUACCCCAGUAGUC